AUUGAACGCUGGCGGCAGGCCUAACACAUGCAAGUCGAGCGGAUGAAGGGAGCUUGCUCCUGGAUUCAGCGGCGGACGGGUGAGUAAUGCCUAGGAAUCUGCCUGGUAGUGGGGUAUAACGUCCGGAAACGGGCGCUAAUACCGCAUACGUCCUGAGGGAGAAAGUGGGGGAUCUUCGGACCUCACGCUAUCAGAUGAGCCUAGGUCGGAUUAGCUAGUUGGUGGGGUAAAGGCCUACCAAGGCGACGAUCCGUAACUGGUCUGAGAGGAUGAUCAGUCACACUGGAACUGAGACACGGUCCAGACUCCUACGGGAGGCAGCAGUGGGGAAUAUUGGACAAUGGGCGAAAGCCUGAUCCAGCCAUGCCGCGUGUGUGAAGAAGGUCUUCGGAUUGUAAAGCACUUUAAGUUGGGAGGAAGGGCAGUAAGUUAAUACCUUGCUGUUUUGACGUGACCAACAGAAUAAGCACCGGCUAACUUCGU
rnacentral:rRNA from 1 species